AGAAUCAACGCUGGCGGCGUGCCUCAGACAUGCAAGUCGAACGCGAAAGUUUCCUUCGGGAAAUAAGUAGAGUGGCGCACGGGUGAGUAACACGUAGGUAAUCUACCUUUGGAUGGGGAAUAACAACCGGAAACGGUUGCUAAUACCGCAUAAUGCAGCGGCACCUAAUGGUGACAGUUGUUAAAGCGGGGAUCGAAAGACCUCGCGUCUGAAGAGGAGCCGUGGCGGCGGAUUAGCGUAGUUGGUAAGGUAAUGGCUUACCAAGGCUACGAUCC
rnacentral:rRNA from 1 species